AAAUGGAUGGUUCUUUGAAAUAGAUUGCUCGCAUAACCCGCGCAAAAUGUUGGGUGAAAUCGAUAAGGACAUCAUCUAAACCUUGUUUCCUUACAGUUGGCUAUGAUAUUGUCCAAUUGUCGAUCAAAGGCGUGAUCCUCUGAUUGUUCACCUUGCUUUGUUUACUGGACUGUGCGUUUGUCUUUGGUGCGGGGAUUAGAAGAGGGGAGCCCAACUUAACAUGAAUGUCUUUGGAGGACGCCGCUGGCCUAAAUCUGUCUUUGACAGGCGUUGCAACCAGAAGGAUGGAUGUCCGGAGAGGGUGCACUUGCCGAGAAUUCGUUCCCCGCGGGUGCAUUUGCCACUGGUUCAUCUCCCGUAGGCUUCCUGG